CGGGAUGACCCUCUUAGGAGGAAAUAGGAUCAUUUCUGCCUUCUAGCAAUCCUGGGGCAUUUCCUCUUAUUGGUUAGUGUUGGAGAGGCACGGCCUCGGUAAGUGGCUCUUCUAAGCAUGCGUUGUGCUGAAAAAAAAUCUUUCCGUCCAGGAUAUGUAGGUGUUUGGGGGAACUGAAAGGUUCAGGCUGACCUCAGCCAAGCACAGUCCGAUCUGAUCGCAGAAUCACCGGAUGUCGUGGCUGAAAGAUUACUCUAAUCACUUAAUUCUAACACAGAAGAAAUCAGAGACCCUGAGGCGCUAAGCGACUUGUCCACAGCGAGGAAAUCUGCAAGCCUGGCCACUAAGGAUUCAAACCUGAGGUCAUCGUGGGUCAUCACCAGUCACCCCGACUUUCCUCUUGCCGUUGGCCUUUGUUGACUGGAAAAGGGAGUGAGACCAACAAUUCUGGGCAACUCUGCCUCACUCAGAUCCAAUU
rnacentral:lncRNA from 1 species